rnacentral:rRNA from 1 species
AGUGAACGCUGGCGGCGUGCCUAAUACAUGCAAGUCGAACGAGUGGCGCACGGGUGAGUAAUAUAUAGCUAAUCUGCCCCUUGCUGGAGGACACCAGUUAGAAAUGACUGCUAAUACUCCAUAGCAAGGGAUGAGCCUAUAUCGUAUCAGCUAGUCGGUGGGGUAAAGGCCUACCGAGGCUAUGACGCGUAACUGGUCUGAGAGGAUGAUCAGGCACAUUGGAACUGGGACACGGGCCAGACUCCUACGGGAGGCAGGAGGUGGGGAUCUUCCGAAAUGGGCGAAAGUCUGGCGGAGGAAAGCCGGGGGAGUGAUGACGGGCUUCGGGUUGUAAAGCUACGUUAAGCGGGACGCGGUACCGGAAUAGAAAGCCACGGCUAACUACGUGCCAGCAGCCGCGGUAAUAC